UUUGUGACACCACGCCUCUGUUUAUGUUUAAUGUGUUGGACACCUGCAAUUUCUGUAUGACCACUCUUACUCUGGGUUCCACACCAGGGAGAUCUAAAAAUGAGGCUUCCAUGUAUGCAAAAAGAGACUUGCAUAUGAAAGAACACCUUCCAGACACCAAGCUCCUGACUCCUGGCUCCUUUCAGGCAGGACUCACUCUGCUGCACCCCUCUUCACCUUAGUCUGAGCCUGAUGUGCUCCCAAAGAUCGAAGACCUGAGUUUGGAUCCUUCAAGGAAGUGCUUUAAUUGCCAGUGGCACGGGUGUUGCAUCUCAUUGUGCAGUCUCCUGUGCCUCACUGACAAAAUGCCUACUGGUGCCAGUUCCCAAGAGCGAGAGGUGAUGAAAGGGUCAGUACGGGACUUUUGCCAACACUUAGAUCCUAUCUAGGGAUCACAGCAGCUCAGUUACAUCAAGGCUCAACGAGCUUGUGAGUUCCUGUAAGCAAAACCUAGGCUUCAGGGUUGCAGUAACGUAGACAUCUACAGGUUGAAAUGGGAUUUGAACACAAGAUUUGCAACAAGUAUUAGUGUCAUUGUUGGACAAGGCACUCAAAGCAGAGGUACAACUUUUGAAGUACUCAGUGUCCAACACUUAAAAAACAAAGUAAUUGCACACAUAAAUGGCCAGAAUUAGCCAGGUUUCAUUACUUGCUGCGUUAUGUACCAAUGCAACACAACACCACAGUUAUUGUAUUUUACAAAUUGGUCCCUUCAUAGUUGUUUCAGAGAGAUGUAGGCUAAUGAAGCAACAUUCUGUCAUGGACUCAAGAGGCAGAAGUGUCUCUGUAGAUAUUUAAACAAGACCCUUGCUUAAAGAAUUAAUGUUGCUAGAAUAAAAUGAAGAUUGGAAUAGGCUCUCUAGUCAAGCAAUUCUUCCUAUUACAGCUAUCCUUAAGAAAUAAAAUGUAUGUUCCUAAAGCUGUGCCUUCUGGAAAUUUUGAGGAAAUUUAUGUGUCUUAAAAGUCAAUGUCCUUAGACAUCAUUAGACACAGAAGAGAAGCACAAUACAGAACAGGAGACUCUCUCAAUUAAAUGCUUAAAAUGUUCCAGUAACAAACUUCCCCACAUUAAACUAGAUGACAACUAACUGAGGCAUUUCUGAUGUGUUCUGCUGCUUUGGUGCUACACAAGCAGAGAUUUUCUCUAGAAGGUACAAGAUCCAGCCUACAAAGGCUACUUUGUGCACUGUUUCUCUGAAACAAUUUUUAUAGCAA